AGCGAACGCUGGCGGCAGGCUUAACACAUGCAAGUCGAGCGGGCACUUUCGGGUGUCAGCGGCGGACGGGUGAGUAACGCGUGGGAACGUGCCCUCUGGUUCGGAAUAACUCAGGGAAACUUGAGCUAAUACCGGAUACGCCCUUUUGGUGAAAGGCUUGCUGCCGGAGGAUCGGCCCGCGUCUGAUUAGCUAGUUGGUGAGGUAACGGCUCACCAAGGCGACGAUCAGUAGCUGUCUGAGAGGAUGAUCAGCCACACUGGGACUGGGACACGGCCCAGACUCCUACGGGAGGCAGCAGUGGGGAAUAUUGGACAAUGGGCGCAAGCCUGAUCCAGCCAUGCCGCGUGAGUGAUGAAGGCCUUAGGGUUGUAAAGCUCUUUUAUCCGGGACGAUAAUGACGGUACCGGAGGAAUAAGCCCCGGCUAACUUCGUG
rnacentral:rRNA from 1 species